rnacentral:rRNA from 1 species
UUAGGAAUAUUGGACAAUGGGGGAAACCCUGAUCCAGCCAUGCCGCGUGUGUGAAGAAGGCCUUAGGGUUGUAAAGCACUUUCAGCUGUGAAGAUAAUGACAGUAGCAGAAGAAGAAGCUCCGGCUAAAUUCGUGCCAGCAGCCGCGGUAAUACGAAUGGAGCGAGCGUUGUUCGGAAUCACUGGGCGUAAAGGGUGCGCAGGCGGUCAUGAAAGUCAGAAGUGAAAUCCCAGGGCUUAACCCUGGAAUGGCUUUUGAAACUCCAUGACUAGAGUAUUGGAGAGGUUGGCGGAAUUCCGAGUGUAGAGGUGAAAUUCGCAGAUAUUCGGAGGAACACCAAUGGCGUAGGC